rnacentral:tRNA from 1 species
GGGUCUAUUGCUCAGUUGGUUAGAGUACUGCCUUGACAUGGCAGGGGUCGCAGUUCGAGUCUGCCUAGACCCACCA